GGUGAAGUGUCCGAGUGGCUUAAGGAGCACGCCUGGAAAGUGUGUAUACGUUUAUAGCGUAUCGAGGGUUCGAAUCCCUCUUUCACCG
rnacentral:tRNA from 2 species